rnacentral:rRNA from 1 species
GAUGAACGCUAGCGGCAGGCUUAACACAUGCAAGUCGAGGGGUAGAGGAAGCUCGCUCCCUUGAGACCGGCGCACGGGUGCGUAACGCGUAUGCAACCUACCUUUUACAGAGGGAUAGCCCAGAGAAAUUUGGAUUAAUACCUCAUAGUAUAUAGUCUUCGCAUGUUGACUAUAUUAAAGUUCCAACGGUAAAAGAUGGGCAUGCGUCCUAUUAGCUAGAUGGUAAGGUAACGGCUUACCAUGGCAACGAUAGGUAGGGGUCCUGAGAGGGAGAUCCCCCACACUGGUACUGAGACACGGACCAGACUCCUACGGGAGGCAGCAGUGAGGAAUAUUGGACAAUGGGUGCAAGCCUGAUCCAGCCAUGCCGCGUGCAGGAAGAAGCAUCUAUGGUGUGUAAACUGCUUUUGUACAGGAAGAAACACCCCGACGUGUCGGGACUUGACGGUACUGUAAGAAUAAGGAUCGGCUAACUACGUGCCAGCCGCCGCAGUAAAAC